rnacentral:rRNA from 1 species
UACGAGAGGACCGGGAUGGACGUACCGCUGGUGUACCAGUUGUUCCGCCAGGAGCACCGCUGGGUAGCUAUGUACGGAAGGGAUAAGCGCUGAAAGCAUCUAAGCGUGAAGCCCCCCUCAAGAUGAGAUUUCCCAAUUAGUAAGACCCCUUGAAGACGACGAGGUAGAUAGGUUGGGGGUGGAAGUGCAGUAAUGCAUGGAGCUGACCAAUACUAAUCGGUCGAGGGCUUAUCCUA